GAUGAACGCUGGCGGCGUGCCUAACACAUGCAAGUCGAACGGACUUAUUUUGGAAAGCUCUUCGGAACUGGAAUCUAUAAGUUAGUGGCGGACGGGUGAGUAACGCGUGAGCAAUCUGCCCUUAGGUGGGGGAUAACAGUCGGAAACGACUGCUAAUACCGCAUAAUGCAUCGAGAUCGCAUGGUUUUGAUGCCAAAGAUUUAUUGCCUUUGGAUGAGCUCGCGUCUGAUUAGAUAGUUGGCGGGGUAACGGCCCACCAAGUCGACGAUCAGUAGCCGGACUGAGAGGUUGAACGGCCACAUUGGGACUGAGACACGGGCCCAGACUCCUACGGGAGGCAGCAGUGGGGAAUAUUGCGCAAUGGGGGGCAACCCUGACGCAGCAACGCCGCGUGAUUGAAGAA
rnacentral:rRNA from 1 species